rnacentral:rRNA from 1 species
GACGAACGCUGGCGGCGUGCUUAACACAUGCAAGUCGAACGGAAAGGCCCUGCUUUUGUGGGGUGCUCGAGUGGCGAACGGGUGAGUAACACGUGAGUAACCUGCCCAUGACUCUGGGAUAACUUCUGGAAACUGGGGCUAAUACUGGAUAGGAGCUACUGCUGCAUGGUGGGGGUUGGAAAGGUUCGGCGGUUGGGGAUGGACUCGCGGCCUAUCAGCUUGUUGGUGGGGUAGUGGCUUACCAUGGCCUUGACGGGUAGCCGGCCUGAGAGGGUGACCGGCCACACUGGGACUGAGAUACGGCCCAGACUCCUACGGGAGGCAGCAGUGGGGAAUAUUGCACAAUGGGCGGAAGCCUGAUGCAGCAACGCCGCGUGCGGGAUGACGGCCUUCGGGUUGUAAACCUCUUUCACCUGGGACGAAGCGUGAGUGACGGUAAUUGGAGAAGAAGCACCGGCUAACUACGUG